CAUUAUGAAGAUAUAUUUGUCAAAGUAGAAAGAUAAAAUACUCUGAUUUAUAAAUUGUCACUAUUUAGACAUAGGAUAUUUACACUUCUGGUUUUUUUGUUUCUAAAGAAUUGUCCAUGUACUCUAUGAUUUUUAAAACUGUCUUCAAAGCCAUUUUGAAAACAAGUGCUCAACGUUUUGGGGGAGAAUUUUUAUUGAUUAGCUGCCAUGAAAUCACUCAUCAUACUUCUGGUAAGCUGCCAUCUGAAGAGGCAUGAAAAAGUUCCGUGGUGUCUGCUGAGUGUUCUCGGUUAAUCCAGUCCAAAUUAUUAAGCCUUCAUAAUCCUCCAAGACACGUAAUCAGAUAAGACUGCAACUGAUUUGAAGAAAUCCUUAAUUGCAGAAAUCAUCAAGCCUUGCUCUUCUGCUGGGCGAGAUGAAAGCGUUCAUCUUCUCCGGAGAACACACGAAGUCCUCACCUUGCAAGCAGAGACCAGGCCCUCCCCAGACACUGAGCUUGGUGGCACUUGGAUUUUGGACUUCCAGCCUCCAAAAUUGUGAGAAAAAGUGCUGAAUAUCACAGAACACAAAGAAAAGAGAAAGAGAAACUGACAGAGCCUAUAAAUGUUGCACGAAGGUUCAGAUACAUACAGUUCUGCUGGCUUUUUAAGGAGCAGUGUUUCCUAUAUCCUAAGGCAGAUGGACAUGUUGGGAUGGAGGGACAUGGAUGGAGCUGGAAGCCAUUAUCCUCGGAAAAUUAACACAGGAACAGAAAACCAAACACUGCAUGUUUGUGGGAGCUGAACAAUGAGAACACAUGGACCCAGGGAGGGGAACAACACACACUGGAGCCUGUUGGCGGUAGUGGGGGUAUGAGGGAAGGAAGAGCAUCAGAAAAAAAUAACUAAUGUAUACUGGGCUUAAUACCUAGGUGAUUGGUUGAUAGGUGCAGCAAACCACCAUGGCACACAUUUACCUAUGUAACAAGCCUGUUGCACAUGUAUCCCGGAAUGUAAAAUAAAAUAAAAUAAAAUAAAUAGUACCCCAAAUGCAGUGCAGGACUCUGGAUUCAAUUCUGGAACAGAGAAAGGACAUUUGUGGGAAAAAAAGGGGUGCAAUCUAGGGUCUUUAUAUAUAGAUAAUGGUACUGUAUCAAUGUGAAUUUCUUAGUUUUGACUAAUGCACUAUGGUUAUGUAAGAUAUUAGCAUUAUGGGAUGCUGGUCAAGGCCAGAUGGUGACUUUCUGCACUCUUUGUAAUGUUUUUGUAAAUCUAAAAUGAUUCCAGAAUAAAAGGUGUAUUUAAGAAAUGGGGGAAAAAGAUAAGCAGCUCUGGGCCUUGGAGAGAGAUACAAAAAUUAGUAGCAAUUGAAAAUAAUUGAAGCCUCACCAGUAAAUAAGACAAUACAGAAAGAGUGACAGAACCUUCAUGAAUUCAUGAGAAUAAAUGCUAAAUUGCCGUAACUUAAAGACCCUGUAAUACCUUGACUCAGAGGACAAAGAAGUUUCAUUUUUUCUUCCUUAACAGUCCCAAUGUGAAGAGACUCAGCUGGUAGGAUAGCUCAACUCUACUUAGGCUUUUAGGGACAGUUAUGUUUGGGUGAUCUGCAAUCCCAUAGGUGUCAUCGCUAGCCUGGUUAAAACUAGAGUACUGCCUUCUUUGUAUUCUUGUCAUUUGUGCCAAUCAAUUGUAACUGGAGAGAGAGAAUAAAAAAGAGUGUAUCUACAGGUGCAUAUUAGUUCACAGGUUUGGUGGUAGAAGUUAAGGAAACUUCCCUCUGUGAAGGAACAAAAUCAAAGUCAUCUGUUUGCGAUCAAGAGGGGCAUGGCAGGGUUAUAC
rnacentral:lncRNA from 1 species